AAGUCGUGGCAAUGUCUCGCCUAUGGUGAACCAGCGGAGGGAUCAUUA
rnacentral:rRNA from 1 species